CAAGCUCGCGAGAGUAAGCUAAUCUCUUAAAGCCGUUCUCAGUUCGGACUGUAGGCUGCAACUCGCCUACACGAAGUCGGAAUCGCUAGUAAUCGCGGAUCAGCAUGCCGCGGUGAAUACGUUCCCGGGCCUUGUACACACCGCCCGUCACACCAUGGGAGUUUGUAACGCCCAAAGUCGGUGGCCUAACCUUUACGGAGGGAGCCGCCUAAGGCGGGACAGAUGACUGGGGUGAAGUCGUAACAAGGUACC
rnacentral:rRNA from 1 species